GAUGAACGCUGGCGGCGUGCCUAAUACAUGCAAGUCGAGCGAACGGACGAGAAGCUUGCUUCUCUGAUGUUAGCGGCGGACGGGUGAGUAACACGUGGAUAACCUACCUAUAAGACUGGGAUAACUUCGGGAAACCGGAGCUAAUACCGGAUAAUAUUUUGAACCGCAUGGUUCAAAAGUGAAAGCCGGUCUUGCUGUCACUUAUAGAUGGAUCCGCGCUGCAUUAGCUAGUUGGUAAGGGAACGGCUUACCAAGGCAACGAUGCAUAGCCGACCUGAGAGGGUGAACGGGCACACUGGAACUGAGGCACGGUCCCGACUCCUACGGGAGGCAGCAGUAGGGAAUCUUCCGCAAUGGGCGAAAGCCUGACGGAGCAACGCCGCGUGAGUGAUGAAGGUCUUCGGAUCGUAAAACUCUGUUAUUAGGGAAGAACAUAUGUGUAAGUAACUGUGCACAUCUUGACGGUACCUAAUCAGAAAGCCACGGCUAACUACGUG
rnacentral:rRNA from 1 species